CAAGUUAUACUACCAAUAUGUUAGAGCACACAAGUUCACCAUGAAAAGAAAAUACUUAUUUAUACCUUAGCUUUUGUUUGGUGUAUACCGGAUGAAGGUUUGAGGUCUUAGUGUCUGAUUGGUGCUGUGAUGAUUGAUGCAUACAAAUUCAUUAAACUCAGCAGAGAAUUAAUAAGCCUAGUAUUUGAUAAUGUGUUUUUAUUCAAACGCUAAUUCGGUCAAGUAACAAUGAGUUCAUAAUAAUCAUAUAGAUAGUUACGAGCUUCAAGAAAAACAUAUGUCAUCAUCAUGCAUUAAUUGUACAAAGUACCAAAUACUGAGAUUUUACUUGAGCGUCUGAGUGUCUUUUGCAUAUACUAUCCCGACUGAGAGAUUGCAAAGAAGUGAAGAUCAGUGGAAGAGGAGUGACAAGUGUGAUUCAAGAAGUGAUAGUCGUUUAAUGAAGGGAAGAAGGUGAUCGACGAUGAAAGAAGUAGGUAAUAAUUCUCUCAAUCCCUUUCGGUACGAGAAUAGUUACUAAGUUAGCAAUAAGUACGAAAAUG
rnacentral:lncRNA from 1 species